AAAGGGGGUGAAAAACCUCCUCGCCGGAAGACCAAGGGUUCCUGUCCAACGUUAAUCGGGGCAGGGUGAGUCGACCCCUAAGGUGAGGCCGAAAGGCGUAAUCGAUGGGAAACGGGUUAAUAUUCCCGUACUUCUGACUAUUGCGAUGGGGGGACGGAGAAGGCUAGGUGGGCCAGGCGACGGUUGUCCUGGUUCAAGUGCGUAGGCUUGAGAGUUAGGUAAAUCCGGCUCUCUUUAAGGCUGAGACACGACGUCGAGCUGCUACGGCAGUGAAGUCAUUGAUGCCAUGCUUCCAGGAAAAGCCUCUAAGCUUCAGAUAGUCAGGAAUCGUACCCCAAACCGACACAGGUGGUCGGGUAGAGAAUACCAAGGCGCUUGAGAGAACUCGGGUGAAGGAACUAGGCAAAAUGGUACCGUAACUUCGGGAGAAGGUACGCUCUUGAUGGUGAAGUCCCUCGCGGAUGGAGCUGACGAGAGUCGCAGAUACCAGGUGGCUGCAACUGUUUAUUAAAAACACAGCACUGUGCAAAAUCGCAAGAUGACGUAUACGGUGUGACGCCUGCCCGGUGCCGGAAGGUUAAUUGAUGGGGUUAGCGCAAGCGAAGCUCUUGAUCGAAGCCCCGGUAAACGGCGGCCGUAACUAUAACGGUCCUAAGGUAGCGAAAUUCCUUGUCGGGUAAGUUCCGACCUGCACGAAUGGCGUAAUGAUGGCCACGCUGUCUCCACCCGAGACUCAGUGAAAUUGAAAUCGCUGUGAAGAUGCAGUGUACCCGCGGCUAGACGGAAAGACCCCGUGAACCUUUACUACAGCUUGGCACUGAACAUUGAACCUACAUGUGUAGGAUAGGUGGGAGGCUAUGAAGACGUGACGCCAGUUGCGUUGGAGCCGUCCUUGAAAUACCACCCUUGUAUGUUUGAUGUUCUAACUUAGACCCAUUAUCUGGGUUGAGGACAGUGCCUGGUGGGUAGUUUGACUGGGGCGGUCUCCUCCCAAAGAGUAACGGAGGAGCACGAAGGUGGGCUAAUCACGGUUGGACAUCGUGAGGUUAGUGCAAUGGCAUAAGCCCGCUUAACUGCGAGAAUGACGGUUCGAGCAGGUGCGAAAGCAGGUCAUAGUGAUCCGGUGGUUCUGUAUGGAAGGGCCAUCGCUCAACGGAUAAAAGGUACUCCGGGGAUAACAGGCUGAUACCGCCCAAGAGUUCAUAUCGACGGCGGUGUUUGGCACCUCGAUGUCGGCUCAUCACAUCCUGGGGCUGAAGUCGGUCCCAAGGGUAUGGCUGUUCGCCAUUUAAAGUGGUACGCGAGCUGGGUUUAGAACGUCGUGAGACAGUUCGGUCCCUAUCUGCCGUGGGCGUUGGAAGAUUGAAGGGGGCUGCUCCUAGUACGAGAGGACCGGAGUGGACGAACCUCUGGUGUUCGGGUUGUGUCGCCAGACGCAUUGCCCGGUAGCUAAGUUCGGAAUUGAUAAGCGCUGAAAGCAUCUAAGCGCGAAGCGAGCCCUGAGAUGAGUCUUCCCUGAUACUUUAAGUAUCCUAAAGGGUUGUUCGAGACUAGAACGUUGAUAGGCAGGGUGUGUAAGCGUUGUGAGGCGUUGAGCUAACCUGUACUAAUUGCCCGUGAGGCUUAACCAUACAACACCCAAGGGGUUUUGUA
rnacentral:rRNA from 1 species